rnacentral:lncRNA from 1 species
CUAUUGAAUUGUUGAGACAUGAAAGGAAGCUUGAUUUUUAGAUCCCUAUCCUCGAUUGCUCCAACUACGCAUUUUAAAAAACACACAUGAUUACAUUUAUUAGUUUCCUCGAUAAGAAGACAUGGAGGACAGUGCUUACUAGUUGAGAUCCACCGGCAAUUGAAGUUGACGGUGUAAGGACAUCCAAGCCAUAGACUACCUAUAUUAUUAAGAUAAGGUAGGCAACUUCAACUCCAAGACGUUAAAUGUCGUCUUUAAUGGAGUAGAGCUCCAGGAAUUAAAGAGACUAUUGUUGUAGGCCAAUUUUGGCCCAAAUACAACCAAAUACUCACCCCAAUUUCAUCAGCCCAACAUCAUCAAACCCAAUCUAAACCAACAGCCCACCUAAACUAACCUACUAAACAUUUUCCAGCAAAGAAAAAACACUAGCCACCUCCCCACUUUCCUCUGACACCAGCCACCAUCACCUGCUCCACCAGUCACCCCCAUACCCUGCAAAAACAGAGCAAACAAGCAAGACGGGAAAAUAUGGCAAAAGUAAUAAAAAAAUUUGUAAAAGAUUACUAUAAAAAGCCAUUCAAAAAUGCUGUAAAAAGGGGGGUUUAUUUUUUUUUAAAAGAAAGAUUGUAACACAGAUAUUGGAAAUAAAAACGGAUACAAAAACAAAAAAAGAGAAGGAAGGUUCAAGAGGUUUAGUUUUGUUCUUCUUUUUUUUUUCCCUUUUUUCUUCUUUUUGUUCUCUGCUUACCUUGUUUUUUUCAUAUUUAUUCAUUGUUUUUUUUUCCUUUUCUUUUUUCAAGAAAACCUUUUUUUAACAAAGAAACAUAAAAAAUUUUAAAGUAGGCGUACCUAGGUUGCGCUCCUUCGCUGUACACGGCGGUCACCGCCGUCGUCGUUGGCGAUAGGGCGGGUCUCUAAGGAACCCAAUCGACAGAAAGAAAAAGGGGGAGGGGAAGAGAGCAUGGAAGUUUUUUUGUUUUUUUAAGAUUGGGGGUUGAAAAUGAAACACAAAAAAAAAUCUUUGUUUUUAAAUAAUGGUGUUGAAACGGCAUUAUUUUGUUUGGUGGGUGGGGUCUGUACACUUUCUCUAAAAGGGAAAUUUAUGCGUUUAGUCCUACUCUCUCGCAACCUCAUUCAAUUAACCCACAUUUUCUAUAUUCUUUUGUUUUUUAAAUUUGGCCCUCAGAUCUUGUUUGGUUUUCGUUUUGAUCCCUAAUUAAUUAUCCAAUAUUUAUACUUUUAUAUCCCGAAUUUUAAUUUGUUUUUAGCCAUGUCCUAAAUCUAUUUAAUUUAUUUAUUAACCUUUUUUUUAAAAUGUUUCAUUUAUAUGUUAUUUCAAAUAUUUUAUAUGUUGUUUAUUUACAUCAUUAUUGUAAAUAUUUUAUAUACAUAUUUUUUUGUACAUUUCCUAAUAUUUUCUUUUAUUGUAGAUAUUAUUAUUAUAUACUCUUAUUAUAUGCAUAUAUAUGAAGUAUCUUUUAUGUACAUAUUAUUUUAUAUUAUUAUUACCAAAUAUAUCAUUUUUUCUUAUUAUUAGUACAUGAUUUGUUUUUAUUUUCUUUUUUUGCAAAUGUCAUUAUUAUUGUUAUAAUAAUUUCUAGUAUUCCAUGUUAAAAUUUUUCAUUAAUGAUAUCAUUGUUUGCGUCGUUUAUCUAUUUUUAAAUUCUCACUUUAGAAAUAUUUUUUUCUUAUGUUUUAAUUAAUUUCAAUAAAUAAAGCAACGCGCCGAUUUAACAUUAAGUCGUAGAUUUCAUCGCUAUGUUGGGUGGAAUUUGUCAGCUCGUGCUAAAGACGGAACACCCUUCUAAAAAACCAAAAAAAAUAAAAACUAAAAUUUUUCGUCUUUUCAAUCGGAUCACGAUUAAAUAUUACAUUGAACUCGCAUUUUUGAAAAUCAAGACAACACGUGUUUAUAAGAUACCAAUUUUGGGCGUCGCGAGGGUGCUAAUACCUUCCCCGCGCGUAACCGACUCUCGAACCUUAUUUUUCUCUGGACUUUUGACGUAGACCUAAACUCGGCCUUCCUUUUGUUUUAAAAAAUAAAUCUAAUAGGUGUCCGAUCACACCUAGGAAAAAGGAUCGAUGGCGACUCCCUCUUUAUUUUAAAAUCAAACUUCAGUUUUCAAGUUUUCAAUAAAUCGCCACAAUUAGCGACCAAAUCUAAACAUUUUUACGUCGCUACAGCUGGCGACUCCGCUGGGGACUUCUAUUUUUGAGAGUCGAGUUGAAUUAAACGCGUGUUGUCAAAAUUUUCAAAUUUCCGUAUUCAAAUUAAUAUUUAAUCAUGAUCCUUAAGUUUUGUUUUCGAAAAAAAUCAUACAUACAUAUCUCCUAAUUUGUUUUAUCUUUUGUUUUUCAGCUUUAAGUUUUACAGUUUUAGUUUUGUAGUUUUAAAAUAAAUGAAAGGUUUGCAAGUUUCUCCCUACGCACCGUGCACUUGCAUUUCGCAUAACAUGAGCUCUCAACCCGGGCCCCGUCCGUUUAAGUGAAAGUAAACGCUACGCCUUCGUGGGUUAACUCGUCCCUCCGCACAGGCUAGUGAAUACUUUCGGGUUACAUACAACUUAUGCUUUCGUGAGUUAACUUGUCCCUCCGCAUAGGCAUAAGUAAAUGUAAUCCCUCGAAUUGAACUCGUGUGAUGGGCUAUGACCGAGGCUUCGUACUAAUCUUAGCAGAUGACAGUACGGACAAUUCGAGUACCUAUCUAGAACCAAAACCGCAUAUAAUGAACCAUACGAGCCACCUAACUAGAGCCAUGCUAAACCUCCAUCCGUUUAGUAGUCACCAAAAUAAGCGCACGGGAGGAACGCCUCUUGCCUUUUGCAUUUUCACUGUCUAUACGAAGGGGAUUGAGUCUGUUUAAUAAACUAGAUUUGGGUAAUUUGAUUCGUUCAAUUUUUCAUAUUUUUUCUGUCUGUAUUUAAUUACUAAUCAAGAUUAUUUGUCUUUGCCGUAUUGUUUUUCAUCAUGCAUUAUAGGCAUCAUAUUAGAAAGGUGUUGACUAAAGAUCGGUUGCCAAAAAAUGGGUUUUUAAUGGAAGAGUCAAUUAUACAAACAACCGAGGAAAAUGCCGUAGUCCGAGAUUGGUCUCUAAAAACUCAGAAAGAAAAAGGGGAUAGUCUAGUGGAGGGAUGUAUUGCCAAUUUGCCCGAGCACGUAACUGUAAAUGUUCGCCAGAAUAACCUUGAAGAUUUGGUUCGGGUUUGGAAUCAGUGGGACUCGGAUACUAGAGGUAUCUUCGCCGAGAGAUAUGGAGACAUAGCCAACUUGAUUGCUGUCAGCGUAGACGAACGAUUGAUCCAAGCCAUGGUUAGAUUUUGGGAUCCAGCCUACCACUGUUUUACUUUCAAUCAGGAAGACAUGACCUCGACUAUAGAAGAGUACACUGCUUUGCUCCGUGUCGAUAAUAUACAACCUUAUAAGAUAUAUGUGCAAGAGCCUAAGCCAAUGACCUUCAAGAAAAAGUUAGUAAGAGUGACAGACAUGACUGACGCGUGGCUCGAAAAAUAGAUAAAGAAGAAGAAUGAAACCAUUUGUAUCUCAUGGUCUUCCCUACGAGACUUGGUUCUAAACCAUCCCGACAUGUUGAAAAGGGUAAAUCUGUUCGCUCUGGCCAUUUACGGUUUGAUCAUCUUCCCGAAGGUCCUUGGACACAUAGAAGUUGCGGUGGUAGAUUUCUUCGAAAGAUUAAAACAAGGAAUCAACCCCGUCCCAACUAUCCUGGCCAAAACCUUCAGAUCACUAAGUAGCUGUAGGAAGAAAGGGGAAGGCCGAUUUAUCGGAUGCGCGCAGUUACUUAAUGUUUGGAUUCUGAGUCACUUCUGGAAAGUAGAGCGCGCACCGUUCCAUAUGUUUUCUAAAACAUUCUCCCCGUUAGAAGCUUAUCUCAAGAAAGAAUGGCCGAAGGAGAUCACUGAACAACACUGGGUCUCAGUCUUUUAGAAUCUUCGCGCCGAUGACGUAACUUGGAGAGCCCCGUGGAUACGCCCGUUAGUUCUGCUAUACAAGGUCAGAGAUCAAGAUUGGGUGCCACUACUCGGAUUAUGGGGAGGAGUCGGAUAUGCCCCAUUAUUAGUCCAAAGGCAAUUUUCUUCGCGGCAAUUCAUACCCGCCACUGGCGGAUUGGCACAAUCCGAGUUCGCUUUCGCGGGUGAAGGAUAUAUGAAGAAGGUCUGAGACAAUGCAAAAUCUUAGAAGAAAAUUCAUCUAAUGGAAUUGGCCUUAUAUGCUGAUACCCUAACUCAAGAUUACGACAUAUGGAGGAAGCAACGGAUAAAUAGUCAGCAGAUUUCAUUAACAACUCCACCGUCCAGAAUCCUUUCUCAGAGGAAAUGCCGUCUGAGCUAGAAAUAGCAAGACAAGAAUUUGAACGAGAAAAGGCCAAGAUGUCUCGGGACCUUAAUGGCCUUCAAGAAGAAAACUACCAAUUGAAGAUUGACAUUCAGAUUGAAAGAUCCAAAAUCGAGAAAGUGCAAAAAGAAGUUGAAGUCGUGAGAAAUGACUUAAGAGACCUCCAUCUGGAAAAUAAAAAGUUAAGAGGCACAAUGAAAAAUAGUGGGCUGGGCAAGUCAUCGGCAGAAUGGAAAGAGGAGAUAAGCAACAUUAAAGGAGGGAUGGAAUUUUGGAAAGGAAAAGCAAAGAAAGAGGAAGAAAAGGCUGCACAGGCUAUGAUAGAAUUGAGGAAGAAGAACGCCGAAUAUGAAGUAGUGUCUGCCGAGGUGAUGACUAGUCGAUCUAAACGUCAAGAACUAAAAGAAAGGAUACGAGAGUUAGAAGAUAUGCUGCAAGAUCGUCAACAACAGUUAGAUACUCUCUUGAAGGCUUUGGAAGAAAAAGAUUGUCAGUAUGAUAGAGACAUUCGUGCUUGCGAAGAGGGCCUCCAGGAAAAAAAAGGCAACUUAGCUAUUUGAUCAAUAAAGUUCGUGGGGUAGCCAUGCACGUGGUACAAUUAUCGGAAGAAGCUAAAAAUCUCAGUUACCAAUUCCCACCAAGCCAACGAUCGAGCAUAUCGAAAUUCCUAGAGCGAAUAAAGAAAUAUGGCGAUAUAGCUAGAAAGUUUGUGUAAUAGCUGAAUCAAAAAUGGCAAAAUGUUUUGUAAUGAACUCUUUUGAUGAAUGAAAUGCCUAAAUAGGGGCUAUCUUGAAAUCAACACCAAUUCCUUACAUGUCAUUCAUGACUAAUAUCCAUUUGACAUUCAAGCAUUCAUGCAUUUAUUCAUUCAUUCAUGGCAUAUCCCGUACUCAUUUGCUGAGGUUAAAAUGUACAAUUCGCAGUUGUAAUACUUCAAAUCUGGAACCACGCCACUCGUAUAGAACGCGUCGGCAAACUAGAACAAUGGAGGCUGAAUUCAAUGAAAGGAUUGAAAGAAUGGAAAGAAUCCAAAAGGAAUUACAAGAGCAGUUGGCUAGGUCACAGCAAGAGACGAGAGACUUAAUGGUGAGAUCACAAGAAGAAUCGCUCGAACAGAAGGAUCAAAUGGCCAAGAUGAUGGAGAUGAUGUCAGCUUUAGUUAAAAGAAAUGGACCCAUGCAGAGCCCUGACAUCGAGGAAUCUUGGUCAAGAGUUAAUCACAAUCAAGACUCGCUCUAUCCCCCUGGAUUCACUCCACCACACGCCCGCGCAGCACAAAGAGGAUACACCCAAGGAGAACCCACAGACCCAGAGCAACGGUCGGUGCCACAUACUCAUUUAGGGCAAGGAAUAUUCAUAUCAAAUUCUGGAGCUAAUCCCGCCAAUCCAAUUGUUCCAGAUUUGGACGAUCUAGCGGAAAUAGCCAGGUUGAGAACGGACGAUCAUGAGGCUUAAGAGAAGUAUAUGAGCUUAGAGGAAAGACUCAAAGCAAUAGAGGGUACUGAAGCUUUCUCUGCACUAAGUGCCAAAGAGCUCAAUUUGGUGCCCGAUCUAGUUCUGCCUCUGAAGUUCAAGGUGCUUGAUUUCGAAAAAUACGAUGGCACGAGAUGUCCAAAGGCGUAUCUUGUCAUGUUUUACCGAAAAAUAACUGGUUACGUGAAUGAAGACCAACUACUCAUACAUUGUUUUCAGGACAGUCUAGUAGGAUUGGCUCUUCGGUGGUACAACCAGCUUAGUAGGGAAAGGAUCCGAUCUUGGAAAGACUUGGCAUCAGUAUUCUGUGAGCAAUACAAGCAUGUAUCGGAUAUGGUACCAGACCGAAUGACUUUUCAAAUGAUGGAGAAAAAGCAGUCAGAAACUUUUAGACAGUAUGCGCAGAGAUGGAGGGAUGUCUCAGCCCAAGUGGAACCCCCAUUAACGAAAACGGAGAUAACCGUUCUUUUCAUCAACACUUUGAAAGCACCGUUUUAUGAUAAACUAGUGGGAAGUGCCACGAAAGACUUUGCGGAUAUUGUAAUAUCCGGUGAGCUUAUAGAGAAUACCGUUAAGAGCGGUAGAAUGGAAGGUCAAGAAAGUUCAAGAAGGGCAGCGCCCAUGAAGAAGAAAGAACCAGAAGCCUACAUGGUGGGAAUGGGAAGCCGUUAUGCCCCUAACCUUUAUUCAAACCAACCCCGACCUCAAAAUUAUCCUCCUCUGAAUUUCUAUUAUCCUCCUCAAACCCCUUACUACCGAGCACCACCUCCUUUCUACCCCGUAUAUGCCAUGAACAACCAAAGGCCCGUCACUACAUUCCCACAAAAUACAAUACCCGCCCAAGGUCAACCCAAAAAUGAGCAGAGGCCAGCAAAACCCUAUUCUGAGAAACCACAAUUUACCCCUAUUCCUGUGUCAUAUGGGGAGCUGUACCCAAAAAUUUUGGAGAAGCAAUUAAUAUCCCCGCAUUAUAUGGCACCCUUGAGGCCCCCAUACCCGAAAUGGUACGACCCAAACACUAGUUGUGCAUACUAUGCAGGAAACCAGGGACAUUCGACGGAAAAUUGCCUAGCCUUUAAGAGGAGAGUUCAAGGACUAAUUGAUGCGGAUAUCCUACGAUUUGAUAGUGCCUGUAAUGCAACUGGGAACCCGUUCCCUAACCAUACUGAAGGAAAUGUGAGCACAGUGGGGAAAGAAGAUGAAUGGCAAGUUAGAAGAUGUGUUUCAGAAAUAAAGACGCCUCUGCAGAAAAUCUGGGAGGCACUGGUUAAGAAUAGAUUGCUCUGUCACCUCGACGAUAAUCUCAAAAAAGAAUGUCAGGUUUUUUGUGAUUUUCAUGGAAUUGUAGGGCACGGCAUUCAAUCAUGUGAGGAAUUUAAAAGGUUAUUGCAAGACCGGAUAGAUAAUAAGGAGAUUGUGUUCAUUAAUCAAGGAGAGGCCAAUGAGAAAGAAGUAUGUGCCUCUGACAAUCAAUCGUCAAGUUGUCCGUAUAGCGCCGAUCGACCAUUCGUAAUUUAUUACGAUGCAAGGAAGGAACCGGUGAAACCAAAAAUGAUGAUUGAAGUACCGUCUCAUUUCCCUUACAAGGACAAUAAAUCAGUACCGUGGAAAUAACGUUAAUAUCGUCACACCUGAAGAUGAAAAACCCAAUGCCAUGACUGGAGGCGUCGGGGAAGUAGGUCAUUUCACUUGUAGUGGAAGAUGUUAUUCGAAGGAGGUGAAGAAGAACAGUGACUUGAAACAGAAAGGAAAAGCACCGAUGCACAUGACCAAAGAAAAGCAUGAAACUGUGCCUGAACAAGAAGCUAAAAAGCCUAUGGACGAGGAGGAAGCACAGGAAUUUUUAAAAUUUAUCAAGCACAGUGAGUACAACGUGGUAGAACAAUUAAGUAAGCAGCCAGCACGAAUCUCGGUAUUAUCUCUGCUGUUGAAUUCAGAACCAUACCGGAACGCUCUGCUGAAAAUGUUAAAUCAAGCUUAUGUGGCAAACAAUGUAUCCGUUGAAAAAUGGAUAGAUGGAUGAACAACUUGAAUGCGGAUAAUUUCAUUUCCUUUAGUGACGAUGAAAUAUCGCCCAAUGGUAGAGGCUCAGUGAAAGCAUUGCAUAUCACAACCCGUUGUAAGGGCUAUAUAAUAUCGAACGUGCUCAUCGAUAAUGGAUCGGCACUCAAUGUCAUGCCUUUGGCCACACUUUCCAAGAUUCCGAUGGAUUUGUCCUAUCUAAGGCCCUGCCAUUCUACAGUAAGGGCAUUCAAUGGAACAAGACGAGAAGUUAUGGGAAAACUCGAGAUCCCUCUAGAAGUGGGUCCCUACAUAUACAAUAUUGAGUUUCAAGUCAUGGACAUUACACCAUCAUACAAUUGUCUCUUGGGAAGACCUUGGAUCCAUUCUGCUGGAGCAGUACCAUCAUCCCUCCAUCAAAAGGUGAAAUUUAUCAUGGAUGGUUGUUUGGUCACUGUCUAGGGAGAAGAAGACAUUGUCGCAUCUAUCUCUGCUGAUGCACCCUACCUCGAAGUAAGCAAAGACGCAGUAGAAUGUUCCUUCCGAUCCAUUGAAUUCGUCAAUGCCACAUUCGUCGCUGAGGGAAAUAGAAUUCCCGCGCCAAAACUAUCGAGAAAUACCAAGAUGGGUGUCAAAUUGACUGUAGCAAAGGGAGCCCGAGCAAGGAAAGGUUUGGGAAGGUACCUGCAAGGAAUAGUCAGGGCUCUAAAGCAAGUACACCACAAGGCCCGAUACGAUUUAGGGUUCCAGUCGGACAUGCGUCAAAGAAGAAAGCAGUGGAAGUAAGAUCAGGAAAGAAGGAUCGCAAGAACACUAGGCCGAGAACCAGAAUGAGAGCCCAUGGAAUUCCCUCCUUUGUCAAGAAUAUUUACGUCUACAGGAAUGAUAUACCCAGGGCAGUAUAGUGCACAAAGCACAAUGUUAAUGAUCGAAGAGGGUUUUCAGAAUAUCAGUAUAAAUGUCAUUGACAAAGGAGCUGACGCGAGUAAAGACAUCUCAAAGAUACGCCCUUGUCCCCCGGGUUUCAUGUUAAACAAUUGGACUGCCCAGGAUCUUCUUGUAGUUUAUAAGUCUUCAGAGUAAUGCUCAAACGUUAACAUUCUGUUAUGUCCUCAGAUAUAAUAGAAUUCUUUUUGUAAGAGCUUGUAUUCGCUCUUUAUCAUUUAAAUGAAUAUCAAUGAAGAUGCAUUUUGUCACGAUUUUUUCGCAUUAUCACUAAUUCCAUAAUCAUUUUGUAGCCUAUCUUUACAAUUGCCUCACGUCAUACCAUAACAUUCAGUUUGUUGAUUUCAAUACUUAGAUGCCCCUCUAUAGUUUCCUUUUCCAUUCAACUUUCAGGUGCUCAGAUAUCAACAGCAUGAAUAAACCCGUUACGAGUUCUGAAAUCGAUUUUGAGAAGGCUAUUUGUUUAGGAGAAUUUGAAGUCGAAAAAAAUGCUGAAGACUAUGUCUCGUCUCCUGACUUGCUAAGAAUGGUGGAACAAGAGGAUAAAUAGAUUUUGCCUCAUCAAGAAUCUGUUGAAACAAUAAAUCUGGGAACUGAAGAAAGGAAGCAAGAAGUGAAGAUUGGGACUUCUAUUUCAGGGGGCAGCAGGCAUAAUUUGAUUGCUUUGCUCCGCGAGUACAAAGAUGUAUUCUCAUGGUCAUAUCAGGACAUGCCAGGAUUGGAAGAAGAUGUAGCGGUCUAUAAGCUCCCAUUGAAGCCAGAAUGUAAGCCUAUUCAACAAAAGCUAAGACGGAUAAGACUUGAGAUGUUGUUGAAGAUAAAAGGGGAAGUCAAGAAGCAAUUUGAUGUUGGUUUCCUACAAGCCUCCAAAUAUCCAGAAUGGGCGGCUAACAUAGUCCUGGUACCAAAGAAAGACGACAAAGUGCGAAUGUGCGUGGAUUAUCGUGACCUGAAUCGAGCAAGUCCUAAAUAUAAUUUUCCCUUACCACACAUUGAUACGUUGGUGGAUAACACAGCAAAACAUUCAUUGUUUUCUUUCAUGGACGGAUUCUCGGGGUAUAAUCAGAUCAAGAUGGCCCCUGAGGAUAUGGAGAAAACUACCUUCGUAACAAUGUGGGGAACAUUCUGCUACAAGGUGAUGCCAUUUGGGUUAAAGAAUGCUGGGGCAACAUAUCAGAGGGCUAUGGUGACGUUAUUCCAUGACAUGAUGCAUAAAGAAAUAGAGGUCUACGUCGACGAUAUGAUUGCUAAAUCCCGAGGGGAAGAAGAGCAUGUAGUGAACCUGAAGAAAUUGUUUGACAGACUGAGAAAAUUCCAACUAAAGCUCAAUCCGGCCAAAUGUAUGUUUGGGGCUACCUCUGGAAAAUUGCUGGGCUUCAUUGUCAGUGAAAGAGGUAUCGAGGUUGAUCCAGAUAAAAUAAAAGCUAUUCAAGAGUUACCACCUCCGCGCACGCCAAAGGAAGUCAGAGGAUUUUUAGGGAGGUUAAACUACAUCGCCCGAUUUAUCGCUCAACUUACCAACCAAUGCGACCCAAUCUUUCGACUCCUUCGAAAACAUAAUCUCGGAGAAUGGAACGAGGAGUGCCAAGUGGCUUUUGACAAGAUAAAACAGUAUUUGUCUAAUCCUCCAGUGCUAGUACCGCCAAUGCCGGGAAGACCAUUGAUAUUGUAUUUGACUGUGUUCGAGAAUUCAAUGGGUUGCGUACUGGGGCAACACAACGAGUCAGGAAAGAAAGAAAAGGCGAUCUACUACUUCAGCAAAAAGUUUACUGAAUAUGAGGCAAAGUAUUCGUCCAUAGAUUACUGCAACGCUCUGGUUUGGGUAGCUCGGAGACUCAGACAAUAUAUGUUGUAUCAUACGACAUGGCUAAUUUCAAAGUUGGACCCAAUAAGGUACAUGAUGGAAUCACCUGCACUCUCAGGAAGAAUGGCACGAUGGCAGAUCUUACUAUCAGAAUAUGACAUCAUCUAUGUGAGCCAAAAGUCGAUAAAAGGGAGUGCAAUAGCUGACUUCUUAGCAACUCGAACAACGAAGGAAUAUGAGCCAUUGAAAUUUGAUUUCUCAGAUGAAGACUUAAUAUGCAUUACAGAAAAAGAAUGUGAGUCAUCAAAAGAAAAGUCAUGGGGAUGAGCUUUGACGGUGCAUCGAAUGCAUUGGGGCAUGGGAUUGGAGCAGUCUUAGUAUCACAAGAAGGGAACCAUUAUCCGUUCACUGCCAGGCUGAAUUUCUUCUGUACCAAUAACAUAGCAGAAUAUGAAGCUUGUAUCAUGGGACUUCGUGCAGCAAUUGAACAAAACAUCCAAACUUUAGAGGUAUACGGAGACUCAGCAUUAGUGAUUUAUCAGAUCCGUGGAGAUUGGGAAGUGAGGGAUUCAAAAUUAGUCAAAUACAGUGAUCUCGUGGCAGGGUUGAUUAAAGAAUUCAAAGAAAUAACUUUUAAUUACUUUCCACGAGAAGAAAACCAAUUAGCUGAUGCCCUGGCCACUUUGGCUUCAAUGUUUAAAGCAAACAGAGAAACAGAAAUAAUGCCUCUUCAAAUGAGUAUAUAUGAAGCCCCUACAUAUUGUUUCAGCAUUGAGAAAGAGCCAGAUGGGCAGCCAUGGUUCCAUGAUAUCUUAGAAUACAUCAAGAAUCAAAGGUAUCCCGAGCAAGCAAAUAUGAACGACAGAAGAACAAUCAGAAGAAUGGCAGCGGAUGGGGACAUCCUAUACAAAAGAGGAAAAGAUCAGGUGCUCUUGAGAUGCGUGGAUACAGUUGAAGCCAGAAAAAUACUUAAAGAUGUCCAUGAAGGAAUUUGCGGGACACAUGCCAAUGGUUUCACUAUGGCCAGGAAGAUUAUAAGACUCGAAUAUUACUGGCUGUCGAUAGAAAGCGACUGCAUUAAUUUCGCACGAAAAUGCCACAAAUGUCAAAUUUAUAGUGAUAAAAUUCAUGUAGCCCCUUUGCCCCUUCACGUCAUGACUUCUCCGUGGCCUUUUUCUAUGUGGGGCAUGGACGUUAUAGGGCCUAUUUCCCCAAAAGCUUCCAAUGGACACCGGUUCAUUUUUAUGGUCAUUGAUUACUUCACAAAAUGGAUAGAAGCUACAUCGCUUGCCAAUGUGACGAAGACUGCGGUUUGCAGGUUUUUGAAAAAGGAAAUCAUUUGUAAAUAUGGUUUUCCUAAAAGAAUCAUUUCAGAUAACGCCUUAAAUUUGAACAACAAGAUGAUGAAAGAAGUGUGUGAGCAAUUCCAAAUAAAGCAUCAUAACUCCUCGCCCUAUCGCACAAAGAUGAAUGGAGCGGCCAACAAGAAUAUUAAGAAGAUUAUUGGGAAAAUGAUUGAGACAUAUAAAGACUAGCACGAGAAGCUACCAUUUGCUUUGUAUGCAUAUCGCACAUCUGUACGGACAUCUACGGGGGCAACUCCUUUCUCUCUGGUCUAUGCAUUGGAAGCUGUGCUACCUAUCGAAGUUGAGAUCCCCUCUCUACGAGUCUUAAUGGAGUCGAAAUUAGAGGAAGUAGAAUGGGUUCGAGCUCGAUAUGACCAGUUAAACCUCAUCGAAGAAAAACGUCUAAAGGCAAUUUGUCAUGGAAAAAUGUACCAGAAGAGAAUGACCGCGGCUCAUGACAAGAAAAUACGGCCAAGAGAAUUCCAAGAAGGAGAACUCGUGCUGAGAAAGAUUCUCCCAAUACAAAGAGACCUGCGAGGAAAAUGGGCACCGAAUUGGGAAGGACCAUACGUCGUAAAGAAGGCAUUCUCGGGUGGAGCUUUGAUUCUCACCGAGAUGGAUGGGAAGGAGUUACCGAGUCCAGUGAACUCAGAUGCUGUAAAGAAAUAUUAUGCUUGAAAAAGGAAACCAAGAUAAAAACCCGAAAAGGGCGUCUUAAAAAAAAAGAGAGAGAAAAAAGGGAUCAAGGUGAAAACCCGAAAAGGGCGUCUUGAUUAAACACAAAAGAUUAGGAUGAAAACUCAAAAGGGCAUUCUAAUGAAGCAAACCCGGGCUUAAAGAACAAGGCGUUUUGAACGGUGGGUCAAAUAGUGAGACUACAGUAUUUGAAGCAUUUCUGAAAGCUCGAAAUCUUCUACGCAAGAAGCCAUGCUCGAAAAGAUUCUUGAUUGAGAAACGUGGAAAAUUUCAUGCAUUAAAUAUCUAGAGCAUUUGUAUUCGUUGAAUGCAAUCCCUUUUCUCUUUAUGACACUUUUUUACUAUUAUUGGUUAACUUUCUUUGUUUACUACAUUUGAAAUGAAUAAAUACGAGGUAUCCUUUUGUCCCUACCUGACCAUUUUUUUCAUGCAUCUCAUUAUGUGGUCCGUUUACAUGAUAAAUAGUGAAAUGACAUACUCUAAACAAAAGAAAUAUUAAGCAUUACCCGGGUAAGAAUUUGAUAAGUACAAGAGCCUCAACGCAAGGACAAAAACUCAACCAGGGGCAAAAGAGCGAUAUCUGGGAAAUAUAGAUUAUUCGUGAAGCUUGAGGACAGGUACAGAACCUGAAGAGAAAGUCAAGAGUUGAAACAAUGAACACAUAUCAUCAAAAAUUGUGACGAAAAAGGGAUAUAUGACAGACAUGCCUAAAGCUCAUAUCAUAAUCAUGUAGGCAUAAAUGCAUUUAAGACAAACAUGUGCAUAUCAUGAUGACAUCAUGCAUGACAUAUACAGGUACUCCAGUAGAGUAAAAGGAUGUGAUGAUAGCUGAAAAGACACAUGAAUUCCACCAGAUGACAUGUUUUGGUAUUCUGAUGUUUUAUUUCUGUUUUUCAAAAAUCAACUCAUAUUGCGAGAGGUGAGUUGAGCCUCAGGACAUGCUGAGGUAAUUUCAAUUUCUGUUUUCUUCAAUUUAUGUUUUUCAAAAAUCAGCUCAUAUUACGAGAGGUGAGUUGAGCCUCAGGGCACACUGAGGUAUUUUCAAUUUCUGCUUUUCAAUUUCUGCUUUUCAAAAAAAUCAACUCAUAUUGCGAGAGGUGAGUUGAGCCUCAGGACACACUGAGGUAAUUUCAAUUUAUGUUUGUCAAAAAAAAAUCAACUCAUAUUGCGAGAAGUGAGUUGAGCCUCAGGGCACACUGAGGUAUUUUCGAUUUCUGCUUUCCAAUUUCUGCUCUUCAAAAAAAUCAACUCAUAUUGUGAGAGGUGAGUUGAGCCUCAGGACACGCUGAGGUAAUUUCAAUUUCUGUUUGUCAAAAAUCAACUCAUAUCGCGAGAGGUGAGUUGAGCCUCGGCUCACAUGCUGAGGUCUUUUCAAUUUCUAUUUUUCAAUUUCUGUUCGUCAAAAUCAACUCAUAUUGCGAGAGGUGAGUUGAGCCUCGAGGCACGCUGAGGUAUUUUCAAUUAAUGUUUUUUCAAUUUAUGCUUUUCAAAAAUCAACUCAUAUUACGAGAGGUGAGUUGAGCCUCGGGUCACAUGCCAAGGUAUUUCCAAAAUCUGUUUGGCAAAUUCUGUUUUCAAAAAUCAACUCAUAUUGCGAGAAGUGAGUUGAGCCUUUGCUCACGUGCUGAGCUAUUUUUCAAUUUCUGUUUUUAAUGUCUAGUUUUUAAAAGUCAAUUCAUAUUGCGAGAAAUGAGUUGAGCUCAGGAUCACACACUGAGUAAAGAACAAAGAUUGGAGCCGAUUGAAGGCACCAGAUUUUGUCUCCCUGAAGUUGUAGUGGAGCUGGUCGAGGAUAUCAGAUCUUGCCUUUCAGAAGUGGCAGAAGAGAAGACCAAAACCUUAUCUCACGGAAGCAAUAGAAGAGAAGAUUGAAGUUGUAGAUCUUAUCCUUCUGAAGUUACAGUGAAGCAGAUGGAAGCCACAAAUCUCAUAUCCUUGAAACUACAUUGAAGUAGAUUGAAGCUACAAGGCCCAUAUCAGAAGAUACAAUGAACUGAACCAAAGCUACAAGAUGCGAUGGACUAGUAAGAGACUGCCCGGAAAAGAAGAGCGCCAAAGAAGUCAACAAUUGGCAAGACCGGGCGAAAUUGGCCUUUCAUUAUGUCUUUGCUCUAUUCCCGUUACACGAUAAUGAGCAAAGAGGGGCAGCUGUUGUAGGCCAAUUUUGGCCCAAAUACAACCAAAUACCCACCCCAAUUUCAUCAGCCCAACAUCAUCAAACCCAAUCUAAACCAACAGCCCACCUAAACUAACCUACUAAACAUUUUCCAGCAAAGAAAAAAACCUUAGCCACCUCCCCACUUUCCUCUGACACCAGCCACCAUCACCUGCUCCACCAGUCACCCCCAUAUCCUGCAAAAACAGAGCAAACAAGCAAGACGGGAAAAUAUGGCAAAAGUAAUAAAAAAACUUGUAAAAGAUUGCUAUAAAAAGCCAUUCAAAAAUGUUGUAAAAAGGGGGGUUUAUUUUUUUUAAAAGAAAGAUUGUAACACAGAUAUUGGAAAUAAAAACGGAUACGAAAACAAAAAAGAGAAUGAAGGUUCAAGAGGUUUAGUUUUGUUCUUUUCUUUUCCUUUUUUCUUCUUUUUGUUCUCUGCUUACCUUGUUUUUUUCAUAUUUAUUCAUUGUUUUUUUUUCCUUUUCUUUUUUCAAGAAAACCUUUUUUUAACAAAGAAACAUAAAAAAUUUUAAAGUAGGCGUACCUAGGUUGCGCUCCUUCACUGUCGUCGUUGGCGGUAGGGCGAGUCUCUAAGGAACCCAAUCGACAGAAAGAAAAAAGGGGGAGGGGAAGAGAGCAUGGAAGUUUUUUUUUGUUUUUUUAAGAUUGGGGGUUGAAAAU